AAGCCCUUUACCUCCAACACACCAGGCAAGCAUAGAACCAUUGAAGAGGUUAUAAAGUCUUUGGUCCAUACAUGGGAAAAAGCCCUUUACCUCCAACACAUCAGGCAAGCAUAGAACCAUUGAGGAGGUUAUAAUUGGAAGUGAAAAGUAUUCUUUUUAAAAUAUUCAUAUUCAUUUUAUAUUUGUUUAUUUGAAAAUGAACUGUUACUCAUUACCUUGUUCAAUUCCUAGUAGUAACAGAAAACAUAUAAAUUUUUAUAUUUGGUUUAAAAAUAUUUUUGUUUGAAAAGUUAAUCAAAAUAUUUAAUUGAAAAGUAUGUCUCCAUGCAAAAUUAUCCAUCCCUCUACAGGUGGUAUCUAAAUAUAAAAAUCUUAUUCUUAAAGUAUCAACACUAACCAUUACUAACAAUUGGUACUUAAUUAAAUAGGUUGAAAGGAUGGAAGACGAGAGAGGGAGAGAAAUGAGAGGGGAGAGGGGAGAGGGAAUAGAGACUGAUGGAGUGAGUUUUCAGAUAAGGGUUUAAGGUACUAGUCUAGUAGAGGGAUAGGUCUUCUUUAAAAAUUAAUGUAUUCAGUCAAAAAAGAGAACUUCUUGUUAAAACAAUAUGAAUAUGAGUAGGGAUACAAACCAAUUUUUAUUUUUGGUAUGCAAAUCCAGUCUGAAAGUCCUUGUUUUAAAAUAAUGGGUCUAUUACAUUUCUUAAUUAUUUCCAAGUCUAAAAUUUUUGUGACCCCAGUGGCCAAUCCAAGGGUUAGGGUUGGACCCCCCCCCCCCCCCUUUUUUUUUAAUGAUAAAGCAUUUGAAUGGGGAUAUAUAUAUUUAAAACCUCCACUUUCUCCUGGGUUGGAUCCCCCUUUUUUAAAGAUUGCUGGUUCCUCUCCUGAACCUUUCUCCCUCCCUAUUUGGUAAAGACAUAUAAAAUUGUGUCCAUAGUACAUGGAUGCCCCAUCCGCACUAUCAUUUUCUAUGUUUAGUAGACUUUGAAAAUGGAGGAAAAAACUCUAUUUGGCAUUAAAAUUAAAAAGAUGAUAUCCUAGGGAACAUGUGUACUACGUUUCAAGUUGAUUGGACUCAACUUCAUCAAAAACUACCUCAACCAAAAACUUUAACCUGAAGCGGGACAGACAAACAAACAGACGCUCAGACCAGAAAACAUAAUGCCCAUAAAUGAGGCAUAAUAAAUGUUUGCCUUGGAAAACUCCCUUUAAUAAUUUGUAUAACAACAGCCAGUCUAGCCUGUCAUAAUUCAGUAACUACCUAGUUAUUUAUCUUUUCUGGAAAGAUAUGACUGUUUCAACACCACUUGUAGUACUCCUACCUAUUACAAGGCUGCCAGUUUUUAUUGGUGGCGGAAGCCAUAUAAAUGGAACCUGAAAAACCACCAACCUUCAGUGUCUUUAAAUGUUGUCCAAAGUUUCUGUUGAAAUGUUUGUACUGGUUUAAGGUAUUGCUGAUUAAAAGUGUUGACGUCUGAUUAAACAAAAAAACAUCCUUUACCAAAUUGUCCUAUUCAGGGGGAGAUAAACAUAUUGAAAUAAAUCAAGGGGAGAUAAACUUAUUGAAAUAAAUCCUUUACAACAACUUUGGAUCAAUACCUUAUAAAUGGGUACUCGGAUAAUAUUUUGGGAAAGAUUUUGAGAAAAGCAAUUUAAAAAUCUGUUAAAGGUAUAUUCUCUAAAUUUAUAAAAUAAUUGGUCCAGUGAUCAAUGAAGAAUGUAAAGAUGAUCAUGAUGUGAUAAGAAUGCCAAUGAGAUGUGGUUAAUAUGUCAAUGAGAUGUGGUCAAUAUGCCAAUGAGAUGUGGUCAAUAUGCCAAUGAGAUGUGGUAAUAAAGCUAAUGAGAUGUGCUAAGAAUGCCAAUGAGAUGUGGUUAAUAUGCCAAUGAGAUGUGGUCAAUAUGCCAAUGAGAUGUGGUCAAUAUGCCAAUGAGAUGUGGUUAAUAUGCCAAUGAGAUGUGGUCAAUAUGCCAAUGAGAUGUGGUCAAUAUGCCAAUGAGAUGUGGUUAAUAUGCCAAUGAGAUGUGGUCAAUAUGCCAAUGAGAUGUGGUCAAUAUGCCAAUGAGAUGUGGUCAAUAUGCCAAUGAGAUGUGGUCAAUAUGCCAAUGAGAUGUGGUCAACAUGCCAAUGAGAUGUGGUCAAUAUGCCAAUGAGAUGUGGUAAUAAAGCUGAUGAGAUGUGCUAAGAAUGCCAAUGAGAUGUGGUUAAUAUGCCAAUGAGAUGUGGUCAAUAUGCCAAUGAGAUGUGGUAAUAAAUCUAAUGAGAUGUGCUAAGAAUGCCAAUAAGAUGUGGUCAACAUGCCAAUGAGAUGUGGUCAAUAUGCCAAUGAGAUGUGGUCAACAUGCCAAUGAGAUGUGGUCAAUAUGCCAAUGAGAUGUGGUAAUAAAGCUGAUGAGAUGUGCUAAGAAUGCCAAUGAGAUGUGGUCAACAUGCCAAUGAGAUGUGGUCAAUAUGCCAAUGAGAUGUGGUAAUAAAGCUUAUGAGAUGUGCUAAGAAUGCCAAUGAGAUGUGGUUAAUAUGCCAAUGAGAUGUGGUCAAUAUGCCAAUGAGAUGUGGUAAUAAAGCUAAUGAGAUGUGCUAAGAAUGCCAAUGAGAUGUGGUUAAUAUGCCAAUGAGAUGUGGUCAAUAUGCCAAUGAGAUGUGGUAAUAAAUCUAAUGAGAUGUGCUAAGAAUGCCAAUGAGAUGUGCUAAGAAUGCCAAUGAGAUGGGCAACAAAUGCCAAGGAGAUGUGCUUAGAAUGCCAAUAAGAUGUGUUAAUACAACUAAUGAGAUGCGCUAAGAAUGCAAAUGAGAAGUGAUAAAGCUAAUGAGAUGUGCUUAGAAAGCUAAUGAAAUGUGGUAAUAAGCUAAUGAGAUGCACUAAGAAUGCAAAUGAGUUGUGGUAAUAAAGCUAAUGAGAUGCACUUAUAAGAAUGUAAAUGAGAUGUGGUAAUAAAGCUAAUGAGAUGCACUUAUAAGAAUGUAAAUGAGAUGUGGUAAUAAAGCUAAUGAGAUGCACUUAUAAGAAUGUAAAUGAGAUGUGGUAGUAAAGCUAAUGAGAUGUGGCAAUAAAGUUAAUGAGAUGCACUAAGAAUGCAAAUGAGUUGUGGUUAUAAAGUUAAUGAGAUGUGGUAGUAAAGCUAAUGAGAUGCACUUUUAAGAAUGCACAUGAGAUGUGGUAAUAAAGCUAAUGAGUUGCAAUAAGAAUGCCAAUGAGAUGUGGUAGUAAAGCUAAUGAGAUGUGCUUAGAAUGCCAAUGAGAUUUUGUAAUAAAGCUAAUGAGAUGUGGUAAUAAAGCUAAUGAGAUGUGCUAAGACUGCCAAUGAGAUAUGCUAAAAAUGGCAAUGAGAUGUGCUUAGAAUGCCAAUAAGAUUUGUUAAUACAACUAAUGAGAUGCACUAAGAAUGCAAAUGAGAUAUGGUAUAAAGCUAAUGAGAUAUGUGCUUAGAAAGCCAAUGAGAUUUGGUUAUAAAGUUAAUGAGAUGUGGUAAUAAAGCUAAUGAGAUGUUGCAAUCAUGCUAAUGAGAUGUGGCAUUAAAGUUAAUGAGAUGUUCUACAAAUGCACAUGAGAUGUGGUAGUAAAGCUAAUGAGAUGCACUUAUAAGUAUGCAAAUGAGAUGUGGUAAUGAAGCUAAUGAGUUGCACUAAGAAUGCAAAUGAGAUGUGGUAACAAAGCUAAUGAGAUGUGCUAAGAAUGCACAUGAGAUGUGGUAGAAAGACUAAUGAUAUUUCAUAUUUGGUAAUAAAGCUAAAUAGAUGUGGUAAUAGUGCCAAUGAGAUGUGCUAAAAAUGCCAAUGAGUAGUGAUAUUUAUGCAACUUCAAUUUGGUAAGAAUGCCAAUGAGAUGUGGUAAUAAAGCUACUGAGAUGUAGUAAGAAUGCCAAUGAGAUGUGGUAAUAAAGCUAAUGAGAUGUGCUAAGAAUGCCAAUGAGAUGUGGUAAUAAAGCUACUGAGAUGUAGUAAGAAUGCCAAUGAGAACUAUCCACCACAGAUAAAACCACAAGGCUGUAAGAGUUAUCUUUCUUUCAUGUGAAUUUUAUGUAUACUUUGUAAACUUUGUAAGCUCCCCUACAGAUGAUUAAAGUUACCCUUUCUUUUAAUAAAAUUAUUUUAUGAAUAAACUUUUAUAAAUUAGCAAGAUGAAAAAGCUUGCUAUAAAUCUCAAAUUCAAAAUAUUCUGAAAAAAAACCCUUAAAUAACCACUUGAUUUUUUUGCCAAUUUCAAAAAAGAUAUACCAGUAAUGACACGAGGAUAGAAGAUGUGUGGAAUCAAAUAGGUAACAACUAUAGUGAUAAUGAAAUAUUCUAAUAAUAACCAGUUUUAAAUGUAUUGACUUGAUGGACUUAUUGUAUGAUGUUGUAUGUGACCAGUCAGAAUAGUGGACAAUGAAAUAUUCAAAUGAUGAAACUGACUGACUUUUAGUGAAUAGACUGAAUUCAGGAUUAAACAGACUUGGAAUUGGACUGACAAGUUAAUAUUGACACCAGCCUUGGAACCAGCAAGUGAAUUAUUGACAUUUAUAUUGAUGUGACCAGUAUUCAUGUAGAUGGACAGUGCUAGUGAACUAUAAACUGAUAAAUCUCACAGAAAGCUGGCACAUCACAACUGGGUCUGAAGCUGUUACAUGCAAAAGACUAGAUAUCCAGGAAAUUUUGAAGAAUUGUAUGUGAUCUAUAACAAGAUCUGAGGACAGUAGGACCCGGAAGUACUAUAUUACCAACUUUAAGUAGAUUAAUUGCUUGGGAAUUUACAAAUCAACUGAUAAAGAAGAAGACUAAUUUUGCCAUUUAGAUGAACUUGGAAACAAUUAUUGACACACAAUAUAGUAUAUUAUUAUUCUUGUUAAAAUCAA